CCGGAGAAUCACAAGCAUCAUUUGCUAAGAACCAUGGUAUUCAGCCCCUGAAGUCUCUUCUCAAUCUGCCACAAUGCAUGGUACACGAACCAUAACAUCACUCCGCAGUCUGCUCCAAUGUAUGGCACUCGAACCAUAACAUCACUCUUCACUCUGGCCCGAUGUAUGCUACUCGAACCAUAACAUAACUCCUCAAUCUGCUCCGAUGUAUGGUACUCGAACCAUAACAUCACUCCUCAAUCUGCUCCGAUGUAUGGUACUCGAACCAUAACAUCACUCCUCAAUCUGCUCCGAUGUAUGGUACUCGANCCUCCCAAAUCUGCUCCGAUGUAGGGUACUCGAACCAUAACAUCACUCCUCAAUCUGCCCCGAUGUAUGGUACUCGAACCAUAACAUCACUCCUCAAUCUGCUCCAAUGUAUGGUACUCGAACCAUAACAUCACUCCUCAAUCUGCUACUUAGAACCUUUGGAAUACCGGCCCCCUGUAUCGAGUAUGGGUCCUCUGCUUUCUUUCGGUAGUACGGGCCCAUACUACCUGCCACAUCUACCCAUACUUUCCACACGGACCAAUCCAGAGCUCCUAGGUAGCUGCUCAACCUUCUCGUUUACUAAUUCCGCCACGCGUGCUCGCUCUUCAGCAAAAUGCUCUACUCUGCCAGCGUACUCAUCUGGCUAAGGUCACUCCCUAGGCUCUUCCUUGGUCCUCCC
rnacentral:lncRNA from 1 species